GAUGAAGAACGCAGCGAAAUGCGAUACGUAAUGUGAAUUGCAAAUUCAGUGAAUCAUCGAGUCUUUGAACGCACAUUGCGCCCCCUGGUAUUCCGGGGGGCAUGCCUGUCCGAGCGUCAUUGCUGCCCUCAAGCACGGCUUGUGUGUUGGGCCCCGUCCUCCGAUUCCGGGGGACGGGUCCGAAAGGCAGCGGCGGCACCGCGUCCGGUCCUCGAGCGUAUGGGGCUUUGUCACCCGCUCUGUAGGCCCGGCCGGCGCUUACCGAUCAACCCAAAUUUUUAUCCAGGUUGACCUCGGAUCAGGUAGGGAUACCCGCUGAACUUAAGCAUAUCAAUAAGCGGAGGA
rnacentral:misc_RNA from 1 species